rnacentral:lncRNA from 1 species
GUGGGGCACUGUGUACUUACAGCCUCUACGAUAAGCAAGUGAAUGUGGCCGGUGCGUGGCGAACGGUUCAUCAAGCCAUUUUUCGCCUCAACUCCCUAAAUAGGAAGAGGGGUAGUUUACAAAUUGGGGUAAUCAAUUCGCACCUGACUGUGAUAAUGAAUGUGGCCGGUGCGUGGCGAAUGGUUCAUCAAGCCAUUUUUCGCCUCAACUCCCUAAAUAGGAAGAGGGGUAGUUUAUAAAUUGGGGUAAUCAAUUCGCACCUGGCUGUGAUAGCCCUCUCGAUACCUUAUUGGAGCUUUGUAACUAGUGGCCGAUUUCCCGUCGCGUCAGCCUUUUCCCAGUGCGCGGAGCCCCAACGAGGAAGGUGUUAGUGCUUUAUCAUUGGGUCAAUAAUGCUAAUCCCUCUUUUUGUGCUACUCCUAGGGCGGGAAGAAGAUAAGAAAACGCGAAGCGUUCUCUUGCUUUCCCAACCUGUUGUUUCUAAAGACUGCCCUCUCUCGGCUGGAUCUUGGUCCAGCCUACUACGAGGAUCCCGUAUCCAGCAACCCCGCCUUUUCCCAGUGCGUGGAGCCCCAACGAGGAAGGUGUUAAUGCUUUAUCAUUGGGUCAAUAAUGCUAAUCCCUUUUUUUGUGCUACUCCAAGGGCGGGAAGAAGAUAAGAAAACGCGAAGCGUUCUCUUGCUUUCCCAACCUGUUGUUUCUAAAGACUGCCCUCUCUCGGCUGGAUCUUGGUCCAGCCUACUACGAGGAUCCCGUAUCCAGCAACCCAACCUAUACAAAGGGCAUCAAAGCCCCUUGACUA